rnacentral:rRNA from 1 species
AACGAACGCUGGCGGCAUGCCUAACACAUGCAAGUCGAACGAGACCUUCGGGUCUAGUGGCGCACGGGUGCGUAACGCGUGGGAACCUGCCCUUAGGUUCGGAAUAACUCCCCGAAAGGGGUGCUAAUACCGGAUAAUGUCUUCGGACCAAAGAUUUAUCGCCUUUGGAAGGGCCCGCGUUGGAUUAGCUAGUUGGUAGGGUAAAAGCCUACCAAGGCGACGAUCCAUAGCUGGUCUGAGAGGAUGAUCAGCCACACUGGGACUGAGACACGGCCCAGACUCCUAUGGGAGGCAGCAGUGGGGAAUAUUGGACAAUGGGCGAAAGCCUGAUCCAGCAAUGCCGCGUGAGUGAUGAAGGCCUUAGGGUUGUAAAGCUCUUUUACCCGGGAUGAUAAUGACAGUACCGGGAGAAUAAGCUCCGGCUAACUCCGUG